rnacentral:rRNA from 1 species
UACGAGGGGGGCAAGCGUUGUUCGGAAUGAUUGGGCGUAAAGGGCGCGUAGGCGGUUAGGAAAGUCUUGUGUGAAAUCUUCAGGCUCAACUUGAAGGCUGCACAUGAAACUGCCGGGCUUGAGUAUGGGAGAGGUGAGUGGAAUUUCCAGUGUAGCGGUGAAAUGCGUAGAGAUCGGGAGGAACACCUGUGGCGAAGGCGGCCACCUGGACCAUGACUGACGCUGAGGCGCGAAAGCGUGGGGAGCAAACAGG